GACGAACGCUGGCGGCGUGCUUAACACAUGCAAGUCGAACGGAAAGGCCCUGCUUUUGUGGGGUGCUCGAGUGGCGAACGGGUGAGUAACACGUGAGUAACCUGCCCUUGACUUUGGGAUAACUUCAGGAAACUGGGGCUAAUACCGGAUAGGAGCUCCUGCUGCAUGGUGGGGGUUGGAAAGUUUCGGCGGUUGGGGAUGGACUCGCGGCUUAUCAGCUUGUUGGUGGGGUAGUGGCUUACCAAGGCUUUGACGGGUAGCCGGCCUGAGAGGGUGACCGGCCACAUUGGGCCUGAGAUACGGCCCAGACUCCUACGGGAGGCAGAAGUGGGAAAUAUUGCACAAUGGGCGGAAGCCUGAUGCAGCAACGCCGCGUGCGGGAUGACGGCCUUCGGGUUGUAAACCGCUUUCGCCUGUGACGAAGCGUGAGUGACGGUAAUGGGUAAAGAAGCACCGGCUAACUACGUG
rnacentral:rRNA from 1 species